UACGUAGGGUGCAAGCGUUGUCCGGAAUUAUUGGGCGUAAAGAGCUCGUAGGCGGUUUGUUGCGUCGGCUGUGAAAUCCCGAGGCUCAACCUCGGGUCUGCAGUCGAUACGAGCAAACUAGAGUGUUGCAGGGGGAGACUGGAAUUCCUGGUGUAGCGGUGAAAUGCGCAGAUAUCAGGAGGAACACCGGUGGGCGAAGGCGGG
rnacentral:rRNA from 1 species